AGAGUUUGUAUUUUAAUUAAGCACCUCGGUUAUAAAACUCAAUGCCAUGAGUCCGAGAAGCACUCUAGUCACAUAUGACAAAUUAGAGAAGUGCAUUUGACGGAUACGUUUCUUGUACUUCUUUUUAUAAUGAAGUGAUUUAUUAUGAACAAGAGAAAACUUCUCAAGUAAGUGGGUGCUGUGCAACAUUAUAAUCUGGUUAAUGCACGAAACUUUUCGCUGGCGCAAUAGACGCUCCUGUGGAGAAUAAUCUACUUCAAUGCAUAGUGUGGCAGCUGUGUAGAAGGUAGAAAGCCAAACAAGUCAGUUUGAUAUGAAACUGUUUAAAAGACAGUGUAUAAGAAAAGUCGUCGGUACGUCGCUCAAGUCAGUGUAGGUAUAAAAAAGAAUGUAUGCUAAUAGAGUAUAUGAUAACAAAACUUAAUUCUGAAUGGUGGGUUGAUGUUACAUGUAUUGAUCAUGUCGCAGAUUUUGGUCUUUGAGACUCUGGUGAGAAGUUAGAGGUAGCUCCUCGAAGCUCAGACUCAUCAGCUGUGUUGCAGAAUAAACUAUUUUAUUAAUGAUUGUAGGAUGAAGAUCCGCUUUAAAAUUAAAAUA
rnacentral:ncRNA from 1 species